rnacentral:rRNA from 1 species
AUUGAGCGCUGGCGGCAGGCCUAACACAUGCAAGUCGAGCGGAAGGUUCUUCGGAACCGAGAGUGGCGAACGGGUGAGUAAUAUAUCGGAACGUGCCCAGUAGUGGGGGAUAACCCGGCGAAAGUCGGACUAAUACCGCAUACGACCUACGGGUGAAAGCGGGGGAUCGCAAGACCUCGCGCUAUCGGAGCGGCCGAUAUCAGAUUAGCUUGUUGGUGGGGUAAAAGCCUACCAAGGCGACGAUCUGUAGCUGGUCUGAGAGGACGACCAGCCACACUGGGACUGAGACACGGCCCAGACUCCUACGGGAGGCAGCAGUGGGGAAUUUUGGACAAUGGGCGCAAGCCUGAUCCAGCCAUGCCGCGUGCGGGAAGAAGGCCUCGGUUGUAACG